UAUCAAUAUACUGGGUAUAGAACUC
rnacentral:sRNA from 1 species